UGUGCAAUCACAAUGUUGCAUUACUUUACCAGACUGCACACUACUCUGCUCUGAAUUUGGCUGCUGUGCCACCAGUACUAAGCUGUACUGAAACCGAACAGAUCUGGCACACACCAAGGACCACGGGUGUUAGACCAGGCCACGUGUGUGACAUGGUUUUUAUAUCUGCAACACCAAAACAGUAGCGCACAGUCGGAAAUGGUGUAAGGAGCAAACAUUACAAGGCAGUGCGAGGAGACACACCAGACCCUGAUGUUCUCAGAGUAGCAGAGGUGUAUCAGGACUUUCAGAGGA